UACGUAGGGUGCAAGCGUUAAUCGGAAUUACUGGGCGUAAAGCGUGCGCAGGCGGUUAUGUAAGACAGGUGUGAAAUCCCAGGGCUUAACCUUGGAACUGCAUUUGUGACUGCAUAGCUAGAGUACGGUAGAGGGGGAUGGAAUUCCGCGUGUAGCAGUGAAAUGCGUAGAUAUGCGGAGGAACACCGAUGGCGAAGGCAGUCCCCUGGGCCUGUACUGACGCUCAUGCACGAAAGCGUGGGGAGCAAACAGG
rnacentral:rRNA from 1 species